AACGAACGCUGGCGGCGUGGAUAAGACAUGCAAGUCGAGCGCUGAUUACGGGGUAGCAAUAUUCCGUAAUCGGAGCGGCGCAAGGGUGCGUAACACGUGGGUAAUCUGCCAUGAAGUUUGGAAUAACUCGCUGAAAGGCGAGCUAAUGCCGGAUGUGAAAACCGAGGGGCAUCUCUUGGUUUUUAAAGCUGGGGACCGUAAGGCCUGGCGCUUCAUGAUGAACCCGCGGCCUAUCAGCUAGUUGGUAAGGUAACGGCUUACCAAGGCUAAGACGGGUAGCUGGUCUGAGAGGACGACCAGCCACACUGGAACUGAGACACGGUCCAGACACCUACGGGAGGCUG
rnacentral:rRNA from 1 species